rnacentral:tRNA from 1 species
GGGGCUGUAGCUCAGUGGCAAAGCGCUUGCCUAGCAUGCAUGAGGCACUGAGUUCGAUCCUCAGCUCCA